rnacentral:rRNA from 1 species
CAGUCGCCGCGGGAAUACGUAGGGUGCGAGCGUUAAUCGGAAUUACUGGGCGUAAAGCGUGCGCAGGCGGUUGUGCAAGACAGAUGUGAAAUCCCCGAGCUUAACUUGGGAACUGCAUUUGUGACUGCACGGCUAGAGUGUGCCAGAGGGGGGUAGAAUUCCACGUGUAGCAGUGAAAUGCGUAGAUAUGUGGAGGAAUACCGAUGGCGAAGGCAGCCCCCUGGGAUAACACUGACGCUCAUGCACGGAAGCGUGGGGAGCAAACAGGAUUAGAGACCCCUGUAGUCCCUGUCUCUUAUAC